rnacentral:tRNA from 1 species
GGGUGUGUAGUUUAACGGUAAAACAGUUCUCUGAUAAAGAACAGAGCGAUGGUUCGACUCCAUCCACACCCA